GGGUGUAUAGGUCAGUGGUAGAGCAUGUGCUGAGCAUGCAUAAGCCUGGGUUCAAUCCCCAACACGUGCA
rnacentral:tRNA from 1 species